rnacentral:rRNA from 1 species
GACGUAGGGCGCGAGCGUUGUCCGGAUUUAUUGGGCGUAAAGAGCUCGUAGGCGGCUUGUCGCGUCGACUGUGAAAACUCGGGGCUCAACUCCGAGCUUGCAGUCGAUACGGGCAGGCUAGAGUUCGGUAGGGGAGACUGGAAUUCCUGGUGUAGCGGUGAAAUGCGCAGAUAUCAGGAGGAACACCGGUGGCGAAGGCAGCUCGCUGGGACGGUACUGACGCUGAGACGCGAAAGCGUGGGGAGCAAACAGG